rnacentral:rRNA from 1 species
GUGGGGAAUUUUGGACAAUGGGCGCAAGCCUGAUCCAGCAAUGCCGCGUGCAGGAAGAAGGCCUUCGGGUUGUAAACUGCUUUUGUACGGAACGAAACGGUCCGGGUUAAUACCCUGGGCUAAUGACGGUACCGUAAGAAUAAGCACCGGCUAACUACGUGCCAGCAGCCGCGGUAAUACGUAGGGUGCAAGCGUUAAUCGGAAUUACUGGGCGUAAAGCGUGCGCAGGCGGUUUUGUAAGACAGGCGGGAAAUCCCCGGGCUCAACCUGGGAAUUGCGCUUGUGACUGCAGUGCUGGAGUACGGCAGAGGGGGAUGGAAUUCCGCGUGUAGCAGUGAAAUGCGUAGAUAUGCGGAGGAACACCGAUGGCGAAGGCAAUCCCCUGGGCCUGCACUGACGCUCAUGCACGAAAGCGUGGGGAGCAAACAGGAUUAGAAACCCGGGUAGUCC